rnacentral:rRNA from 1 species
CCAAUAGCGUAUAUUAAAGUUGUUGCAGUUAAAAAGCUCGUAGUUGAAUCUCGGGGUCAGCAGGUUGGUCGUGCCUCUGGUAUGCACUGGUUUCGCUGAUUCCUCCUUUCUGAAGAACUGUAAUGCCAUUAAUUUGGUGUUGCAGGGAAACAGGACUGUUACUUUGAAAAAAUUAGAGUGUUUAAAGCAAGCUAACGCUUGAAUACAUUAGCAUGGAAUAAUGAAAUAGGACGUUAAUCCUAUUUUGUUGGUUUCUAGGAUCGACGUAAUGAUUAAUAGGGAUGGUUGGGGGCAUUAGUAUUCGAUUGUCAGAGGUGAAAUUCUUGGAUUUAUUGAAGACUAACUACUGCGAAAGCAUUUGCCAAGGAUGUUUUCAUUAAUCAAGAACGAAAGUUAGGGGAUCGAAGACGAUCAGAUACCGUCGUAGUCUUAACCAUAAAUUAUGCCGACUAGGGAUCGGAUGAUGUUAAUUUUUUAAUGACUCA